CCAGACUCCUACGGGAGGCAGCAGUGAGGAAUAUUGGUCAAUGGUCGGGAGACUGAACCAGCCAAGCCGCGUGAGGGAUGAAGGUACAGAGUAUCGUAAACCUCUUUUGUCAGGGAACAAAGGCGGGGACGCGUCCCCGGAUGAGUGUACCUGAAGAAAAAGCAUCGGCUAACUCCGUGUCAGCAGCCGCGGUAAUACGGAGGAUGCGAGCGUUAUCCGGAUUUAUUGGGUUUAAAGGGUGCGCAGGCGGAAUGUCAAGUCAGCGGUAAAAUUUCGGGGCUCAACCCCGUCGUGCCGUUGAAACUGGCGUUCUUGAGUGAGCGAGAAGUAUGCGGAAUGCGUGGUGUAGCGGUGAAAUGCAUAGAUAUCACGCAGAACUCCGAUUGCGAAGGCAGCAUACCGGCGCUCAACUGACGCUCAUGCACGAAAGUGUGGGUAUCGAACAGGAUUAGAUACCCGCGUA
rnacentral:rRNA from 1 species